rnacentral:miRNA from 1 species
GCCAUCCUGCGCCUGCCCAGCUACCGCUUCCGCUACCGGCGCCGCUCCCGC